GUGUAACCAGUGUUACAGAUACAACCUGAAUCAUGUGGCAUGGGUAUAUCAUUAGUGCAACUCAUUUCAGGGUGUAACCAGUGUUAUCAGAUACAACCUGAAUCAUGUGGCAUGGGAUGUAUUAAUUUGUGCAAAUCUUCAGUGGUGUAACCAGUGUAAAAGAUACAACCUGAUCAUGGUGGCAUGGGGUAUAUUCAUUUGUGCAACUCAUUUCAGUGGUGUCCAGUGUCAGAUACAACUGAAUCAUGUGGCAUGGGUAUAUUCAUUAGUGCAAACUCAUUCAGUGGUGUAACCAGUGUUACAGAUCAACCUGAAUCAUGUGGCAUGGGGUAUAUUCAUUAUGCCACUCAUUCUAUUUGACAUAUUCAGGUGGAUACAACCCCGGUUUUGCCCUGUUUGCUUCAGUUAUUUCCAGUGAAUACACUCCGUACCAUUAAUCAGAUCAAGUCCAGUCAGCUAUUACACCUGUAUCACCUUGACAACGUGUCUGGAAACAACCCAGGUAACCAGUAACCACUAAGGAAGUCCAGCGGACUUGCUGCCUACUAAACCCACCUAAUAAAUACGUGAAGAGAAAACACAUGAAACAUACCAAACAAUGUCCACUGCUGGUGUGACCAACCCCCCCCCCCCCUUCUAAAAUGUAACAACAAUGAUGUUACAACCAUAAAUAAACUGUAGCAAGCCGUGUUUAUAAUCAUGGGCAUAUCGUCUUACAACUUCGAGCAUUCUUUGUGAACACGCUGAUGCCACGCAGGGCCAACAGCCAGAAGGUUGAGGGUUUGCUGUCCACCAUGUACGAGACUCUCCCUGCCUGUCCACCAUUAGAGACUCUCCCUGCCUGUCCACCAUGUACGAGACUCCCCUGCCUGUCCACCAGUACGAGACCUCCCUGCCUGUCCACCAUGUAAGAGACUCUCCCUGGCUGUGCCACCAUGUCGAGACUCUCCCGGCCUGUCCACCAUGGACGAGACUCCCCUGCCCUGUCCUCCACCUGGACGAGACUCUCCUGCUCGGGCCACCAUGUACGAGACUCCCCUGCCGUCCCACCAUGUACGAGACUCUCCGCCUGUCCACCAUGUACGAGACUCUCCCGGCCUGUCCACCAUGUACGAACUCCUCCCUCCCUGCCUCCACCAUGUACGAGACUCUCCCUGCUGCCUGUCCACCAUGGACGAGACUCUCCGCUGUCAACCAGGGACGAGACUGCCCCUGCCUGUCCACCAUGGACGAGAACUCGCCCUGCCUGUCCACAUGGACGAGACUCUCCCAGCCUGUCCACCAUGAACGAACUCUCCCUGACUGCCACCAUGUACGAGACUCUCCUCGCCUGUCCACCAUGGACGGGAUUCUCCCUGCCUGUCCACCAUGGACGAGACUCGCCGCCUGACCACCAUGGACGAGACUCUCCCUGCCUGACCACCAUGGACGAGACUCUCCCUGCCUGUCCACCAUGGACGAGACUCUCCCUGACUGACUCUCCCUGCCUGAUCUCCCUCAGGACGCUCCCUGCCUGA
rnacentral:lncRNA from 1 species